rnacentral:rRNA from 1 species
UACGAAGGGGGCGAGCGUUGUUCGGAUUUACUGGGCGUAAAGGGCGCGUAGGCGGGCGCGCAAGUCGGAGGUGAAAUCCCACGGCUCAACCGUGGAAUAGCCCCCGAUACUGCGUGUCUGGAGGGAGAUAGGGGCGUGCGGAACUUCCGGUGGAGCGGUGAAAUGCGUAGAUAUCGGAAGGAACACCGGUGGCGAAAGCGGCGCGCUGGAUCUCUUCUGACGGCUGAGGCGGCGAAAAGCCAGGGGAGCCAAACGGGG